GAGAGAGCUGUCAGCCGUGGAGAGGGCUUUCGACACAUGCUGGAAAAGCUUUGGCUCUGGCUUUGGCCAGGAAACGGUUCAGUCUACUUUGAGAUUCCUGGCCAGCAACGACACGACAACCGACAGUGGCCGCGUCGCGUGCUCCAAAAAACAAAAAGGAAGGCUGGAAAAACGCCAGCAGCAAGGAGCUGUAGCUGUGGCUGUAACAGUUUCCACCAAAGUCUAGGAAAACAAGUCCGAAGGAGGCGCAUUUAAGUGGCAGCUUGCUUUUUUGGGCUAAGCAAGCGAUUCGUGCGAUUCUAUCCAUGUGCUGCGAGUAUAUCUGGCACGGACCCCUAUGAACACUAUGAACGAGAUCUGGCAAUGAUGAUAGUAGCAUGACGCGCGACGGCGAAAUUCCAGCCAUUUUCAAUCCGAAACGGGUCCGCACACCUGCCGUGGUAGUCACCGGAGACUCAUCGACAAAUGUCCCCUACAGCAACAAUAACAAUAACAACAACAACAACAGUGGAACUGGGACGGGCACGGGGACGGGGCCGGGGGCCAGCAGCAGCAGCUCGGGAGGCACAGCUGUCGCAGCAGGAGGAGGAGGUGGCACUGGGGCAGGAGCGACAGGCGGAUGUGGCUUCAGCAAUGUGCUCACAUCGAGCAAUCCGCAAAUAACCCACCAAGACUCGAUCUCGUCGAGCCAGCAGGAUCCCAAUGAGGUAAUCAUCAUACCAGCGGACACCCCCACGGGGCCCCCCGGCAGCCACAAUGCACAACACCACUUCGGAGGCGACUCGAGUGACACGCAAACCGGACUCGACUCCCAGCAGCAGCAGCAGCCGAAUGGCCAUGGAGAGGAGCCGGAGCUGCGCUUCAGAAAGCUGCAGGCCUGCAAGGAGUCCUGCUGCUCGGAGCUGGCCCGCAAGAUGUACUUCGGGGUGUGCGUGACCAUCCUGAUGACCGCCUCGUGGGUGGGGGCCACGCACUGCAUCAAGUACAUGUACAAGUACCGGGCGCCCUACGAUGACGUGCUCAACGAUGACCAGGACACGUCAUCGAGUCGGGCCGAGCUGAGCGCCGAGCUGGAGGAGAUAAUGGCCAUCAGCGACUCGUCGCUGCAUCACGUCGAGGACGCCACCGAGAUGUUCAAUAUACCACCGCGCCAACCCGUCUAUUUCAGUGCACCGUUUUUUGCCGCCUGGUUUUUUACCAACUUUUCACUGCUCUUCUUCCCGAUCUACAUCCUGGGCCUCGUUUCCACGCGCAAGUGCGACAAGCUGAGCGAGGUCCUCGGCGAUGUGCUGAGAGGAUUCCGGGAGCGCGGCUUCACCGUGGGUCGCUUCCUGAAUCGCUGCCUCUCGUUUUGCAUUUUGUGGCUGGUCACCACCUACCUGUAUACGCUCUCCCUGAACGUGCUCUAUGCCACGGAUGCCCUGGCCCUGUUCGCCACCAAUGUGGCCUGCGUCUAUCUGCUCUCCUGGGUGAUCCUGCACGAGCAGUUCGUGGGCGUUCGCAUUGUCGCCAUCAUUCUGUGCGAUACGGGAAUCGCACUGCUCGCCUACAUGGACGGCAUCACCGAGAGUCGGACUCUGAGCGGCGUCGUUCUGGCCACACUGGCCGGCGCCGGCUAUGCCGUGUUCCGGGUUAUGUUCCGCAAGGUGAUGGGCGAUCCGCCGGUGGGCCAAAUCGCCUUCAUUUUCACCGCCCUGGGCUUCCUGAACGCCCUCCUGCUCUGGCCAGUGGUGCUGGCGCUCUACCUGACUGGCACGGAAAGCCUCACAUCGGAGAGCAUACCCUGGAACCUGCUGCUCGCAGCGAGCGUCCUGCUCUUGGUUUUCCACGUUCUGAUGCAGUUCAGCGCCGCCGUAACGUACAACAUGUUUGUGACAUUGGGUCUGAUUACCGCUGUGCCCGUUUCUGGUGCCCUCGAUGUCAUACUGUACAGUGCCAACUUUGCGGGCAUGAAGCUGGCCGGGGUCAUACUGAUUGGCAUCGGGUUCUUCCUGGUGAUGUUCCCCGAGAACUGGCCCGACUACAUAACGCGACUGCUGCGAAAGAGCGUUCGAGCCAUACUCCGUUACCAAUGUUGUUGUGAAUUAGCCGAAAUUCGCUAUGCUCAUUCGAAGCAUCAUAAUGCUGGGUCACAACGCGAGGUGAGUUUCGUGAUUAGGCUGAGAGGAGAAUUGCGUAUGUUAUUGAGUUUUGUUAUUUUUGUUUGGUUUUGGUUUUUGUUUUUGUACAACCUACGCUUAAACAACACGGUGGCCAAAUCUAAUAGAAAAGUUGCUCGUAAUAAUAAAAGAAUACGGCAUUUAGGAAUACCAUACUCUAAGCAACCCGAAACCUAUACCCAUACCCGAGAUUCUACCUGUCCUGAUACUAAUAUAUGUAUUUAUCCAAAUCCAAAACUGUAAGCGAAGUACAUACAUAUGUUUUCAAUUCGAUUUCGAUUUCGUUUCUUGCCUAGAACUUUUGGUAUUUCGGGUUUAAUUUGGUUUGUGGAGGGUUUUGUGGAUGAUUGCAACUUUAUCGAUUCUUCUUAUGUACUUUACUCUCUUACUCGCAUCCCAGUAUGAUUUCCAUAUCCUCUCCAUAAGCUACAUAUUCCGUAAUCAGAGUAAAGUAUUGGUAAUCUAAUCCAUGAUAGCUCAUUUGAUAAUCCAAUAUAUACGUACAUUAGAGCCAGUAGAGUCCCCAACUAUUGGCUGAUUUCGAUUUGCUAUUCCUUCAGAACUUCUUUUCGAUUCGAUAAGUACUCAUACCAAGGUAAGUCAAGGCAAGGUAGGGUUCUGCCAGCUACAACAUGCAUAUGUAUUUUGAAGUAACUUCACUCUCACCUCAUCCAAAACGUAUGUCAUUCGUGAGCCCAGACCAGAUCCGAUCUGAAUCCGAGAGAAUGAAUGACAGACACACUCGAUCUCUCUCUCUCUCUCUCUCACACACCGAAGUACUGUAUGUAGAUCAUGAAUCUUCUUUUGAUCAGUUUCUUGUAUAAUUAUUUUGGAGAUCAACUGAAAUUCUGUACCAGCAGCUCUCUCUAUAGUAGAUAACUAUUCUGAUUUCUGAUUUGUAUAUAGUAAAAACACCGCUAAUCUGUACUAUUGCUUCUUUUCUUCUUGUUUUUCUACUUCACCUAUGCCACAACCUGCCUAUCUCUCUCUCUCUCUCUCUCUGUGUCUUUCUCUCUCUCUCUUCUCUAUUUCUCGACUAUCUCCUCUCUUCGAACUGUUCUCUCUCUCUCUCCCCCUAACUCUGCAAAACACUGAACACACUGAAUACAACGAACCGACCCGGCUAAAUUGAUCAAAAUAUACACUGCGAACAAAAAAAUACACAUGUUGAACAUACCCAUGAAUACACUCGAAACAACACCCAUGUAGCGGUAGGCCAGCGCUUUGUAAACGAGAUGCUAUAGUCCCCGGACCGUCCACGAGAUAUGCGCAGCGGCACAUCACGCGCACGCACCACAUAAGCUAAGAGUUGGACAAGUCACUCAAUAUUGUACAGAACAAAAAGACCGCAACCAGAACAUAUAUAUAUUUUGUAAAAAGAUUUUCCAAAAAAACCAAAAGAAAAGCCAAAGAAAACCCAGUACUCAAUUGCACACCACUUGCCAGACCUUGGGAUCGCAGCAUAUUUAUGCAUCCCAUUAUAAACAUAAGCGAAAGUAUUAUGCGGUCAAUACAAACCCAUAUGUUGUUUGAGCCAAUCGCAUGAAUGAAACCAGAUCUCGUGGCGGCCGAUCGUGGUGGGGGGCCUGGUGGGCAUUUUUGCUUUGAUCCCACGGCCAAGGCCGCCCCCGCAUCGCCCCCGAGCCAACAAUGUUUUUAUAGCCGUUGUUGUCUGACUGUUGAGAACAAUUUUUGUACCAAUUACAUUUAGUAAAGUAAUAGUUUCCAAUAUAGAGAAACUCAAAACGAACGAACGGUGAGAGCCCUAGAUAUGUUCCUUUUUUUGUGUUUUUUUUGUAUCCACUUCUAUACUCUGUAGCCCACACUCGAUUGCCCUCACUCUCAUGUACAGUCCAGCAUCUCUCACUUCUCACUUUUUGACAUCUAUGAAAUUGUAGUACAAAUUUGUUACCUCCUUUAUUGCUUUGCACUUUGCCUAUGUUGUUGGAUCUAUAAUUCGUGUAUCUGGAAGAGCACAGCUUUACGUUAAAUUCAUACAAGUAUAUGUAUAUUUUUGUGGCACUCGUAAAUCGAACCACCCCGCUUAAACCCACACCAACACACUCAAACCCACACCUACACACACACAUACAAAACACAAUACACGAGAAUUUUGUAAAUAACUUUAACAGAACAUCAGUAAAAAAUCAGUAAAAAGUCUUAGAUCUUAGGCUAUUUGUGCGAGCAUCAAGCAGUGCACUGCAGACAGAAGGCCUCCCAUUGGGUCCUUGGUCUGUGCUGCAGUGCAGUAUCCGAUGCCAAAUUGAAAUUUAAUAGUCUUGCAAAUGAACAAUAAUCUAUGUAAAUGUGAGUGUAUUUAGAGCAUUAGAAUUGAACAUGAAAAGAAAUGCAUAGAAACUAAAUGCCAUACAAAAAACAACUUGCCUUCAUAGACCUGAACAAACCGAUACUAACAUGUACACUUCUUUCUAUGCCCCCAAAAAACAAAAACAAAUCUUCCGAAAAAAA